UUUGACGGAGAGUUUGAUCCUGGCUCAGGACGAACGCUGGCGGCGUGCUUAACACAUGCAAGUCGAACGAUGAUGCCCAGCUUGCUGGGCGGAUUAGUGGCGAACGGGUGAGUAAUACGUGAGUAACCUGCCCUUGACUCUGGGAUAAGCCUGGGAAACUGGGUCUAAUAC
rnacentral:rRNA from 1 species